GUGCGAGACCGAUAGCGAACAAGUACCGUGAGGAAAAGAUGAAAAGAACUUUGAAAAGAGAGUUAAAGAGUACCUGAAACUGCUGAAAGGGAAGCGAAUCGUAUCCAGUGUCUAUAAUCUGCGGCAUAUUUCAUUGGCGGCAGUGUGCGUGCUUUUGCGUCGGAAGCGGCUUUUGUUGCUCUGUGCUUUUGCUGUGCGUGCUGUUGCUGGUGCCCUGUGUUGCGGUGGGACGUCAGAGUCAGUUCGUAUGCUGCGGGAAAUGGCCGCCGAGGAGGUAGGUCAGGACUUCGGUCUUGGCUGUUAUAUCUUGGUGGUUUGUUGUCGUGGUUGGGACUGAGGUGCCUACAAUGUGCUUUUGAGUGUGCCGGGUUCUCAUUUGGUGGACUGUUUGGAUAGCUUGCUAUGCUUGUGGUUUUUUCAUCGAGUGAUUGAGUCUGGUGGUAACUUGUUGCUGUUCGGGGCUUUGA
rnacentral:rRNA from 2 species